rnacentral:rRNA from 1 species
UGGGGAAUUUUGGACAAUGGGCGAAAGCCUGAUCCAGCAAUGCCGCGUGUGUGAAGAAGGCCUUCGGGUUGUAAAGCACUUUUGUCCGGAAAGAAAUCCUCUGGGUUAAUACCUCGGGGGGAUGACGGUACCGGAAGAAUAAGCACCGGCUAACUACGUGCCAGCAGCCGCGGUAAUACGUAGGGUGCAAGCGUUAAUCGGAAUUACUGGGCGUAAAGCGUGCGCAGGCGGUUUUGUAAGACGGAUGUGAAAUCCCCGGGCUUAACCUGGGAACUGCAUUCGUGACUGCAAGGCUAGAGUAUGGCAGAGGGGGGUAGAAUUCCACGUGUAGCAGUGAAAUGCGUAGAGAUGUGGAGGAAUACCGAUGGCGAAGGCAGCCCCUGGGCCAAUACUGACGCUCAUGCACGAAAGCGUGGGGAGCAAACAGGAUUAGGAUAACCCUGGUAGUCCACGCCCUAAAACGAUGUCAACUAGUUGUUGGGGAUUCAUUUCCUUAGUAACGUGAGCUAACGCGUGAAGUUGACCGCCUGGGGAGUACGGUCGCAAGAUUAAAACUCAAAUGAAUUGACGGGG